UACGUAGGUGGCAAGCGUUGUCCGGAAUUAUUGGGCGUAAAGCGCGCGCAGGCGGUCCUUUAAGUCUGAUGUGAAAGCCCCCGGCUCAACCGGGGAGGGUCAUUGGAAACUGGGAAACUUGAGUGCAGAAGAGGAGAGUGGAAUUCCACGUGUAGCGGUGAAAUGCGUAGAGAUGUGGAGGAACACCAGUGGCGAAGGCGACUCUCUGGUCUGUAACUGACGCUGAGGAGCGAAAGCGUGGGGAGCGAACAGG
rnacentral:rRNA from 1 species